GUUGGAAGAGAGAACGAACCUCUUAGAAGAAUGGAAGAGGAGGAUUCAAGUAUCACUAAUGUGGUCGCCGGAAUGGAAAAUGGUUUGGUAUGAGAGUUCAAUCAAGGUGCAAUCUCAAUGACUAUAAAUAUAUGUAUCUAUUACCCAUAGUCACCUGCACAUUAAAUGUUUCAAUAUUUCUUUCGCAUCAUAGCCACAUUGACGCAGCUGUU
rnacentral:lncRNA from 1 species